GCAGGGCUGAUGUGAAGCCAAGACUGUCGGCUCAGCCCUAGGACUCCACCCCAUCCAAGCUGAGCACAGAGGUUUUUGCAAUUUUGCAAGUCUGAUCCUAUAAGACUGUCUCCAAUACAGAAGGUAUCCUGGUGUAGACACAGCUGAUAUUCACAUCCAAUUGGCCUGGAGGUCAAUUCCUCCCAGUAAUACCAACAACAAUCAAGACUUAACUACAUCAAGGCUAUACACACAGUCCACAAAGGAAAGCACCAAGUGUGUCUACCUCAGGUGACUGGGGAGGCUGAGCCAUUGGGCCCUAUAGGACACCUACUCCACAAGGCCACUCCACCAACUCCAGGAGACAUAGCAUCUCUACCUAAUACUUAGAAACAAACACAGGGAAGCAGCCAAAAUGUGGAUACAAAGAGUCAUGUCACAAAUGAAAGAAAUGGAACCAAGCAAACUACUGGGUACAGAGUUCAAAGCCAUAGUUAUAAGGUUACUCAAGGAUCUUCAUGAGAGUUUCAAGAGACUUAGUGAGAGUUUCAAGAAUCGUAGUGAGAAUGUCAAAGACAUAA